rnacentral:tRNA from 1 species
GCCUUCGUGGUCUAUUGGUCAGCACGCUCGGCGCGUAUUCGAGAGGUCCGAGGUUCGAGUCCCGGCUAGGGUA